CCUACGGGAGGCAGCAGUGAGGAAUAUUGGUCAAUGGGCGCGAGCCUGAACCAGCCAAGUAGCGUGAAGGAUGACUGCCCUACGGGUUGUAAACUUCUUUUAUAAAGGAAUAAAGUGAGGCACGUGUGCCUUUUUGUAUGUACUUUAUGAAUAAGGAUCGGCUAACUCCGUGCCAGCAGCCGCGGUAAUACGGAGGAUUCGAGCGUUAUCCGGAUUUAUUGGGUGUAAAGGGAGCGUAGGUGGGUUGGUAAGUCAGAUGUGAAAGUCUGCGGCUCAACCGUAAAAUUGCAAUUGAUACUGGCAAGCUUGAGUACAGGUGAGGUAAGCGGAAUUCGUGGUGUAGCGGUGAAAUGCGUAGAUAUCACGAAGAACUCCGAUUGCGAAGGCAGCCUACUAAACUGCAACUGACACUGAUGCUCGAAAGUGUGGGUAUCAAACAGGAUUAGAUACCCUUGUAGUC
rnacentral:rRNA from 1 species